GGAUACAAAGUCAAUCCCACUGGGAUUCCGGUCACUCCAUUGAUCACAAAGGUGGAUUCGGGGGAUCUGGCUGGCUAGGCAGUGUUCUGCUCCUCACUGCCUGCUCCAAGAUUGUGUCUCCUGAAACUGUGUGCUCUGUUCCAGGAGAGAUACUGCUUUCUACAAGAGGACUGUUUCCUUGCCAGAAAUUUCAGAUAGCUCUCAAGAAAGUGCUUUAAUGACCAAAACAAGUUAAAAUAGUCUCAAAGAGAGCACCAUGUUCAAUAUGUAAUCUCUGU
rnacentral:snRNA from 1 species